AUCAAUACAAGUGUUCCGAAGUCAACGAGACGCACAGGUAUCCCGGACUAAAUCAAACAACAUUACUUGGAUCAAAGUGCAGUGUCCGAUACAGCGGAACAGUUCAGACUGCGGAUACUUUGUUUUGAGGUUUAUGAAAGAAAUCCUUCAAAUGAAUCAAUUAGAGAUUCCAAUCACGUACUUUGACGAAUUCCGUGUUGCUUCUUACCCGAAACUUAAGUUGGAAGAAAUCAAAGAGGAAUUGUGUCAAUUUUAUAUUCAUCAGCUAUUCAUGUAGUAAGAUUUGUGUCGAUUUGAAGAGAAU